rnacentral:rRNA from 1 species
GAUGAACGCUAGCGGCAGGCUUAAUACAUGCAAGUCGAGGGGCAUCAAGGUACACGAAAGUGUAUUGUUGGCGACCGGCGGACGGGUGAGUAAUAGGUAGGUAACCUACCUCAUACUGAGGCAUAGCUGGGAGAAAUUCCAGGUAAUUCCUCAUGAGGUUAUAUGACACAUGUGAUAUAAUCAAAGGUAUCGCAAGGUACUGGUAUGAGAUGGGCUUACUGACCAUUAGCUAGUUGGUGAGAUAAGAGCUCACCAAGGCGAAGAUGGUUAGGGGUUUUGAGAGAGAGAUCCCCCACAUUGGAACUGAGAUACGGUCCAGACUCCUACGGGAGGCAGCAGUGAGGAAUCUUGGUCAAUGGACGGAAGUCUGAACCAGCCAUGUCGCGUGAAGGAGGACGGCCCUAAGGGUUGUAAACUUCUUUUGCAGCGGAAUAAAGUAUUCCACGAGAUGGGAUAUUGCAAGUACGCUGCGAAUAAGGAUCGG